rnacentral:rRNA from 1 species
UGCGUAGGCGGAUUAAUAAGUCAGUGGUGAAAUCUUUCGGCUCAACCGAGAAACUGCCAUUGAUACUGUUAAUCUUGAGUUCGGUUGAGGUAGGCGGAAUGUGUAAUGUAGCAGUGAAAUGCUUAGAUAUUACACAGAACACCAAUUGCGUAGGCAGCUUACUAGACCGACACUGACGCUGAGGCACGAAAGCGUGGGGAGCGAACAGGAUUAGAUACCCUGGUAGUCC